GGCAGCCGCGAGGGCUCCGAGAGUGGCGGGCUAGACCGGGGGAAGUGCCGGAGGCCCACGCCAGGCUGGACCGGGGGCUAAAGGACCGAGGAAACCAAGUCACGGUGCUUGACUCCCGCCCAAAAGAGGGCGCUCGGGGCCGCGGGUACUGGUCUGUUUCGGGUCAGUUUCGGGAGCACGUGGCGGCGCCCGCGGCGGCCAGGCCGGGGAGGGAAAGGGCGCCUCCCGCCCGUCCCCCUCCGGGCGUGGGCAGGUGCCACGCUUGGGCUUUGUUUCACCCGUGGGAGCCCUUUUCUCAGAAAUCCCCACCGUCCACAGCCACGGCUCUGCUGCUUCGGGAUUGAUUGAGACGGAGCCAGCGGGGAGUCAAGCAGGUGGUUCCAGCAAGACCUGCUCUUUCCCUCCGGUGACUGCGGGGAAAACCCUCGGGCGCUACGAAGGAAUUUCUCGGACGUUUAAAUCGACCACGAGUUACUCAUGUUCUUUGGAUCCACGGCAGGGGGCCGGGUAUUUCUGUGCAAGAACUCGAAAACGCAAGACAUUGGUGACCUUUUGAAACUCCUCAGGAUCUGCUGUGAGACGAGAGGCUUGGGCUGGAGCCGCUUUCGCCCUGAGGAUUCUGAGAAGCCAGGUCUGGUGGGCUACACGAGAAAAGAAUUUUGUGGACCGUUUCAUUUGGGAGAUUCUGAGUUACGUGCAGUAUAAAAGGGGCAGGGAUUGGUUUUAUUUUACUUUGCCUAUUAUUAUUUAUUCAGAUGCAUUUACAGGAUGCCUUCUAAACUAGACUUCCCGAGAGGUAGAGGUCCCUAGUCAAGACACGGCCUCUGUCCAUUAGAGUUCAUUCUGUGGAGAGAGUAGGCGCUGAGCAAGGCAAGCCAGUGCCUAGGGAGUGAUAGAGGGGAACCAGGAACGUGCAGCAGGGCUCGGUCUCAAAGAGACCAGAGGGGGGGCGGGUGGUUGGAGCUGCCCAGGCUGUGGGAAGCGUGGCUGGGGCAAGAGCGUGAAAUGUCACAAAACUGGUCCAAGUCCAGGCUGAUGCCAGAUGGCAGUGGACCUUCAAUGUCUUGUUGAGGGGCAGGGUUUGAACAGUAUUUCAAGGUAGACAAAAAGCUAUUGCAGACACCUUCCUGGCUACUCGGUAGAGAACAGGCAGAUGGAGGCAGAGCUGUUAGGAGGCCUGUAGUGUUUUUGAGGAGAGAUACUGGCAAUGCUGAGUGGCGGCAGUGAAAAUGGGGCAAGAGUAUACAGAUUUGAGAAAAAAACUGGAGAGGUAAUUGCAGGAGGUGAGGGAAAGAGAGGAGUCUGAAAGAACCUCCCGGUCCCUGGCUUGCACCAGUGGGCGGAUGGACAGUGUGGUUCCUGUGUCCGGAAUACAGGACGAGAGGUACUGCUGGAGAAGGUUUACCAGGUGGUGGCGGCAGGGAUGUGUUAAAACCGAUGAGCUCCGUUUGGAGCUGCCGUUGCAAGCCCCUAAAAUAAAUAGUGUGCAGCCUUUGUCAGUUUGACCUGACGUCUGUUUCUUCUUAGCAGAACAUGUCUCGGGGCCAGGGUUCCACAGAACACCCGCUGGUCAGUGCUGGACUGGCUACUCUCAGAGGUCCUAUAGCUCAGAUAUCUUUGCCAUAUGGUGACUAGGAAGUAAACAGCGUUGCGUGAUGUUUAAGUGGACUUUUAAAUUCAAAUGGAAGAAAGACAUGUAGAAAGUGCCCCGUUGACGCACCCCCGGUGUCCGCUGCCUAGAGCAACAGGACGUAGUAGCACAGAGGCCUCCCCUCUGGUCCUGUUUUUAAGCGUGUAAGUCCUACACUGGGCGGUCACAGGGAGGACGGAGUGGCGGGCUGCGGGGCUGAGACACCACUUCCAUCUGGUCUCUGGGGUGGCCUCCUCCCCAGAGCCCAGCCGUGGACCUCAGCUCACCCAUCCCUCUGCACUCCCUGGGCCUUUUUUCUUAGAGAAAGCCGUGACCAAUAAAUCUAGGGAAGGACCUUCAUCCAGAGUCGGCCUCGCCUGCCAAGUGCCUUCCGCCUGAAUUUCACGGUCUUGCCCUUGGAGAAGCUAUUCCCCACCCCCAGAGGAGACCAGGCCUGCUCCCUUCCUCUUCCUAACGCUGCUGGGAGCAGCCACCAGGGGUCCCUAGGCCUGUGCGAGAACCCAGUGAGACAGCCUGACAACGUGGCCACAGGGGAGCUGGACUUCCUGGGUGCAGGUCUGUUCCAUGUACUGCUUACUCACCAGCUGUGUGACUGCGGGGAAGUGACUGCACUGCUCUGUGCCUCCAUUCCUUCGUCAGCUGAGCAACGAUCGAUCGUCGAUGGUUAUCUCGGUACCCACAUCACAGUCCUGCUGCAAGGAUGGGAGGAAAGCGCAUCAUGUAAAGUGCUCAGGGCAGGAGGACCUCCAAACCCACCGGCUGGAUGAAUGAAGGCUGAGUGCAUCUGUGUGGCUGUUCCGACUGAGGGGCGGUGGAAGGUUCUGUGGGGCUGAAUGGCUGAGGAGAGAGGGGAAAGGCAAGCAUGGCCGGGAUCGAGGGCUCGGUGGCCAUGAAGGUGAUGCUGGGCAUCUAGUGGACACACAUUUCAUUUCUGUGUGGGGCCUGACCUGCCUUGACCACGUUUAAAAAUAAUAAUUUUAAAAAAGCUUUGCAUUUGCCCAAGGUAGAAUUAGCCUGGCCUUGGUAAUAAGAAGCCAUUGUUUUAAU